rnacentral:lncRNA from 1 species
UCUGUGACAGAGGAUAUCAUGUUGAUUUCUAUGAAGAACACAGUGAGAUAGUAAGCAAGUCAACAGGCAAAGUGGCAGUGAUUGCUCACAGACAUGGAAAUAUUUAUGAAAUUCACUUGCCUACAAACUCUGAAGGAAAAGCAAUUUGCUUAUCCACAAGAAUCUCUGCAGAAGAAAGUUGGAAGUGGCACAAGAAGCUCUCACAUCUCAAUUUCAACUCCAUAAAUGAGCUUAUAAAGAAAAAGCUUGUGAGAGGACUCCCUGAA